CUUUCCUUAUCUUUCUACUUAUCAGUAAAAGAAAAACAAGAGAAAGAAAUGAUAAAAGAGGAAAGAAGAGAAUAGAGAAAGAAGAAGAAGAAUCAUCAUCGCCAACUUCAUCUCAAUUUCUUCAUCAUAUUCCUCGCUAGAGGUUAAAUGCAAGAGAAGUUAUUUGGUGAGCGUUGUUAAAGUCAGAAAAAAGAGGUUUCCCAAUUAUAUGGGAAUGCAGGGUGGCACAUGGUCCGAGCAGUCUUGUAGUGUAAGAGAAGUCGGAAAGUUAAGGAUUUCUAUCAGAUGAAUUUAUCAAAGUUGAAAAGUGUGUGAGUCUGUUAGUAGAAACAAAAUUGAACCAUUGGUAUGGAACAAAUGUUAUAGCUAACUCCGUACAGUAAGGAAGAAAGGAUGGUUUUUGUCGCACAUAUGCCACAAUGCCCAAAAGAUAGGUGGUGUACCAGUCUCUCAGCUAUGAAGUCAAGCUUCUCCAACAAUGUGCUUUUAUGAAAACAAGUAUAUUAUCUUUAGUUCAUGUGCAUUAUCAAAGGAUGAGAAAUAGUUUCAUGUUCAAAGUUUAUGGUAAUAAGAAUUAUGUCUCGAGCAACAAUAUCAAAACAUCCUUGGAGCUUGGAAGAUUGAUCCUUCAUUGACGUACAACUUGAAAUUUGAUCAUAUGUUUACCAUAGUGCUCAAUAACAUGAUUAACAAAUCAUCAUAAUGCAUAAAAUAAGUUUUGAUA